CGCGGCCUAUCAGCUUGUUGGUGAGGUAAUGGCUCACCAAGGCGACGACGGGUAGCCGGCCUGAGAGGGCGACCGGCCACACUGGAACUGAGACACGGUCCAGACUCCUACGGGAGGCAGCAGUGGGGAAUAUUGCACAAUGGGCGCAAGCCUGAUGCAGCAACGCCGCGUGGGGGAUGAAGGCCUUCGGGUUGUAAACCCCUUUUAGCAGGGAAGAAGCGAAAGUGACGGUACCUGCAGAAAAAGCGUCGGCUAACUACGUGCCAGCAGCCGCGGUAAUACGUAGGACGCAAGCGUUGUCCGGAAUUAUUGGGCGUAAAGAGCUCGUAGGCGGUUUGUCGCGUCUGCUGUGAAAUUCCGAGGCUCAACCUCGGACCUGCAGUGGGUACGGGCAAACUAGAGUGUGGUAGGGGAGACUGGAAUUCCUGGUGUAGCGGUGGAAUGCGCAGAUAUCAGGAGGAACACCAAUGGCGAAGGCAGGUCUCUGGGCCACAACUGACGCUGAGGAGCGAAAGCGUGGGGAGCGAACAGGAUUAGAUACCCUGGUAGUCCACGCCGUAAACGGUGGGCACUAGAUGUGGGGCUCUUUCCAUGAGUUCCGCGUCGCAGCUAACGCAUUAAGUGCCCCGCCUGGGGAGUACGG
rnacentral:rRNA from 1 species